UCCCGCCGCUAGCGACGCCUUCUCAGUCAAACGGCGCUUGAACUUGGUCGUGUACGUCUUUGUAUUCGGUUCUUGUGAUCAGGAAUCUAUUUGUGAAUUUCACAUCGAAGUUUGGAUAACAUCUUUGUCUUCAGCGAGGAAGGGAAUGCUGUAUCAGUGUAAGGAGGUCGGAGCGUGAGCGAGUGGGACAGGAAAUGGCGCAACUCUAGAUACAUUUCAAGUCAACACCAAAAGG